rnacentral:tRNA from 2 species
AGGGGUAUAGUUCAGUUGGUAGAACGCAGGUCUCCAAAACCUGAUGUCGAGGGUUCAAGUCCUUCUACCCCUG